rnacentral:rRNA from 1 species
GACGAACGCUGGCGGCGUGCUUAACACAUGCAAGUCGAGCGGUAAGGCCCUUUCGGGGGUACACGAGCGGCGAACGGGUGAGUAACACGUGAGUAAUCUGCCCUUCACUUCGGGAUAACUACCGGAAACGGUGGCUAAUACCGGAUAUGACCACUUCACGCAUGUGAUGGUGGUGGAAAGUUCCGGCGGUGGAGGAUGAGCUCGCGGCCUAUCAGCUUGUUGGUGAGGUAGUGGCUCACCAAGGCUUCGACGGGUAGCCGGCCUGAGAGGGUGACCGGCCACACUGGGACUGAGACACGGCCCAGACUCCUACGGGAGGCAGCAGUGGGGAAUAUUGGACAAUGGGCGAAAGCCUGAUCCAGCAACGCCGCGUGAGGGAUGACGGCCUUCGGGUUGUAAACCUCUUUCAGCGCUGACGAAGCGAAAGUGACGGUAGGCGCAGAAGAAGCACCGGCCAACUACGUGCCAGCCGCCGCCGUAACAC